AACGAACGCUGGCGGCAUGCCUAACACAUGCAAGUCGAACGCUCCGCAAGGGGAGUGGCGAACGGGUGAGUAACGCGUGGGAACCUGCCCAGUAGUUGGGGAUAACCGCGGGAAACUGCGGCUAAUACCGAAUACGCCCUAAGGGGGAAAGAUUAUCGCUAUUGGAGGGGCCCGCGUCGGAUUAGCUGGUUGGUGAGGUAACGGCUCACCAAGGCGACGAUCCGUAGCUGGUCUGAGAGGAUGAUCAGCCACACUGGGACUGAGACACGGCCCAGACUCCUACGGGAGGCAGCAGUGGGGAAUAUUGGACAAUGGGCGAAAGCCUGAUCCAGCCAUGCCGCGUGAGUGAAGAAGGCCUUAGGGUUGUAAAGCUCUUUCAGCGGGAAGAUAAUGACGGUACCCGCAGAAGAAGCCCCGGCUAACUUCGU
rnacentral:rRNA from 1 species